AUUGAACGCUGGCGGCAGGCCUAACACAUGCAAGUCGAACGGUAACAGGAAGAAGCUUGCUUCUUUGCUGACGAGUGGCGGACGGGUGAGUAAUGUCUGGGAAACUGCCUGAUGGAGGGGGAUAACUACUGGAAACGGUAGCUAAUACCGCAUAACGUCGCAAGACCAAAAAGGGGACCUUCGGGCCUCUUGCCAUCGGAUGUGCCCAGAUGGGAUUAGCUAGUAGGUGGGGUAACGGCUCACCUAGGCGACGAUCCCUAGCUGGUCUGAGAGGAUGACCAGCCACACUGGAACUGAGACACGGUCCAGACUCCUACGGGAGGCAGCAGUGGGGAAUAUUGCACAAUGGGCGCAAGCCUGAUGCAGCCAUGCCGCGUGUAUGAAGAAGGCCUC
rnacentral:rRNA from 1 species